rnacentral:rRNA from 1 species
UACGGAGGGGGCUAGCGUUGUUCGGAAUUACUGGGCGUAAAGCGUACGUAGGCGGAUGCGCAAGUUGGGGGUGAAAUCCCGGGGCUUAACCUCGGAAUUGCCCUCAAAACUGCACGUCUUGAGACCGAGAGAGGUAAGGGGAAUUCCUAGUGUAGAGGUGAAAUUCGUAGAUAUUAGGAAGAACACCAGUGGCGAAGGCGCCUUACUGGCUCGGUACUGACGCUGAGGUACGAAAGCGUGGGGAGCAAACAGGAUUAGAUACCCUGGUAGUCCACGCCGUAAACGAUGGGUGCUAGAUGUUGGGGUCCUUAGGGCUUCAGUGUCGCAGCUAACGCGUUAAGCACCCCGCCUGGGGAGUACGGCCGCAAGGUUAAA